rnacentral:rRNA from 1 species
UACGUAGGGCGCAAGCGUUAUCCGGAAUUACUGGGCGUAAAGGGCGCGUAGGCGGCGUGUCAAGUCAGGCGUGAAAGCCCCGGGCUCAACCUGGGAACCGCGCUUGAGACUGGCAUGCUCGAGUUCGGGAGAGGAUGGUGGAAUUCCCAGUGUAGAGGUGAAAUUCGUAGAUAUUGGGAAGAACACCGAUGGCGAAGGCAGCCAUCUGGACCGACACUGACGCUGAGGCGCGAAAGCGUGGGGAGCAAACAGG